GAUGAACGCUGGCGGCGUGCUUAACACAUGCAAGUCGAACGGAAAGGCCAUGCUUUUGUGGGGUGCUCGAGUGGCGAACGGGUGAGUAACACGUGAGUAACCUGCCCUUGACUUUGGGAUAACUUCAGGAAACUGGGGCUAAUAUCGGAUAGGAGCUCCUGCUGCAUGGUGGGGGUUGGAAAGUUUCGGCGGUUGGGGAUUGAAUCGCGGCUUAUCCGCUUGUUGGUGGGGUAGUGGCUUACCAAGGCUUUGACGGGUAGCCGGCCUGGGAGGGUGACCGGCCACAUUGGGACUGAGAUACGGCCCAGACUCCUACGGGAGGCAGCAGUGGAGAAUAUUGCACAAUGGGCGGAAGCCUGAUGCAGCAACGCCGCGUGCGGGAUGACGGCCUUCGGGUUGUAAACCGCUGUCGCCUGUGACGAAGCGUGAGUGACGGUAAUGGGUAAAGAAGCACCGGCUAACUACGUG
rnacentral:rRNA from 1 species